GACGAAGGUGGCGAGCGUUGUUCGGAAUCACUGGGCAUAAAGCGCACGUAGGCGGCGAUGUAAGUCGGAUGUGAAAUCCCUCGGCCCAACCGAGGAACUGCGUCCGAAACUGCAUUGCUUGAGGAUCAAAGGGGUGCUCGGAAUUUCCGGUGGAGCGGUGAAAUGCGUUGAUAUCGGAAGGAACGUCGGCGGCGAAAGCGGAGCACUGGUUGAUUUCUGACGCUGAGGUGCGAAAGCCAGGGGAGCAAACGGG
rnacentral:rRNA from 1 species